rnacentral:rRNA from 1 species
UAGGGAGCGAGCGUUGUCCGGAAUUACUGGGUGUAAAGGGAGCGUAGGCGGGAUGGUAAGUCAGAUGUGAAAUGCAGGAGCUCAACUCCUGAGCUGCAUUUGAAACUGCUGUUCUUGAGUGAGGUAGAGGUAAGCGGAAUUCCUGGUGUAGCGGCGAAAUGCGUAGAGAUCAGGAGGAACAUCGGUGGCGAAGGCGGCUUACUGGGCCUUUACUGACGCUGAGGCUCGAAAGCGUGGGGAGCAAA